rnacentral:other from 1 species
GCGAGGCUGCCCGGCACGCACUGAUAAGAACAUCCCUGAGGCGAUUAAUCAUCCAAGGGAACUGUCCCUGCCCGAACCUUGGUUCGGAACAUAUGGUGCCCACCUGACUCUUUGGCGUCAGAGGAUAUUCCGGGAGGCGACCCAUGGUGGUCUCGCU